rnacentral:rRNA from 1 species
UACGUAGGGGGCAAGCGUUGUCCGGAAUUAUUGGGCGUAAAGAGCGUGUAGGCGGUCCGGUAAGUCAGCUGUGAAAGUCAAGGGCUCAACCCUUGAAUGCCGGUUGAUACUGUCGGGCUAGAGUCCGGAAGAGGCGAGUGGAAUUCCCGGUGUAGCGGUGAAAUGCGCAGAUAUCGGGAGGAACACCGGUGGCGAAGGCGGUUCUCUGGGCCUUACCUGACGCUGAGGAGCGAAGCCAGGGGAGCAAACGGG